GGGUUGUGAGGUUAAGCGACUAAGCGUACACGGUGGAUGCCCUGGCAGUCAGAGGCGAUGAAGGACGUGCUAAUCUGCGAAAAGCGUCGGUAAGGUGAUAUGAACCGUUAUAACCGGCGAUGUCCGAAUGGGGAAACCCAGUGCAAUUCGUUGCACUAUCGUUAACUGAAUACAUAGGUUAACGAGGCGAACCGGGGGAACUGAAACAUCUAAGUACCCCGAGGAAAAGAAAUCAACCGAGAUUCCCCCAGUAGCGGCGAGCGAACGGGGAGCAGCCCAGAGUCUGAAUCAGCUUGUGUGUUAGUGGAACGGUCUGGAAAGUCCGACGGUACAGGGUGAUAGUCCCGUACACCAAAAUGCACAGGUUGUGAACUCGAAGAGUAGGGCGGGACACGUGGUAUCCUGUCUGAAUAUGGGGGGACCAUCCUCCAAGGCUAAAUACUCCUGACUGACCGAUAGUGAACCAGUACCGUGAGGGAAAGGCGAAAAGAACCCCGGCGAGGGGAGUGAAAAAGAACCUGAAACCGUGUACGUACAAGCAGUGGGAGCACCUUCGGGUGUGACUGCGUACCUUUUGUAUAAUGGGUCAGCGACUUAUAUUCUGUAGCAAGGUUAACCGUAUAGGGGAGCCGCAGGGAAACCGAGUCUUAACUGGGCGUUAAGUUGCAGGGUAUAGACCCGAAACCCGGUGAUCUAGCCAUGGGCAGGUUGAAGGUUGGGUAACACUAACUGGAGGACCGAACCGACUAAUGUUGAAAAAUUAGCGGAUGACUUGUGGCUGGGGGUGAAAGGCCAAUCAAACCGGGAGAUAGCUGGUUCUCCCCGAAAGCUAUUUAGGUAGCGCCUCGUGAACUCAUCUUCGGGGGUAGAGCACUGUUUCGGCUAGGGGGUCAUCCCGACUUACCAACCCGAUGCAAACUACGAAUACCGAAGAAUGUUAUCACGGGAGACACACGGCGGGUGCUAACGUCCGUCGUGAAGAGGGAAACAACCCAGACCGCCAGCUAAGGUCCCAAAGUCAUGGUUAAGUGGGAAACGAUGUGGGAAGGCACAGACAGCCAGGAUGUUGGCUUAGAAGCAGCCAUCAUUUAAAGAAAGCGUAAUAGCUCACUGGUCGAGUCGGCCUGCGCGGAAGAUGUAACGGGGCUAAACCAUGCACCGAAGCUGCGGCAGCGACACUAUGUGUUGUUGGGUAGGGGAGCGUUCUGUAAGCCUGCGAAGGUGUGCUGUGAGGCAUGCUGGAGGUAUCAGAAGUGCGAAUGCUGACAUAAGUAACGAUAAAGCGGGUGAAAAGCCCGCUCGCCGGAAGACCAAGGGUUCCUGUCCAACGUUAAUCGGGGCAGGGUGAGUCGACCCCUAAGGCGAGGCCGAAAGGCGUAGUCGAUGGGAAACAGGUUAAUAUUCCUGUACUUGGUGUUACUGCGAAGGGGGGACGGAGAAGGCUAUGUUAGCCGGGCGACGGUUGUCCCGGUUUAAGCAUGUAGGCUGGUUAUCCAGGCAAAUCCGGAUAAUCAAGGCUGAGGUGUGAUGACGAGGCACUACGGUGCUGAAGUAACAAAUGCCCUGCUUCCAGGAAAAGCCUCUAAGCAUCAGGUAACAUCAAAUCGUACCCCAAACCGACACAGGUGGUCAGGUAGAGAAUACCAAGGCGCUUGAGAGAACUCGGGUGAAGGAACUAGGCAAAAUGGUGCCGUAACUUCGGGAGAAGGCACGCUGGUGUGUAGGUGAAGUCCCUGCGGAUGGAGCUGAGACCAGUCGAAGAUACCAGCUGGCUGCAACUGUUUAUUAAAAACACAGCACUGUGCAAACACGAAAGUGGACGUAUACGGUGUGACGCCUGCCCGGUGCCGGAAGGUUAAUUGAUGGGGUUAUCCGUAAGGAGAAGCUCUUGAUCGAAGCCCCGGUAAACGGCGGCCGUAACUAUAACGGUCCUAAGGUAGCGAAAUUCCUUGUCGGGUAAGUUCCGACCUGCACGAAUGGCGUAAUGAUGGCCAGGCUGUCUCCACCCGAGACUCAGUGAAAUUGAACUCGCUGUGAAGAUGCAGUGUACCCGCGGCAAGACGGAAAGACCCCGUGAACCUUUACUAUAGCUUGACACUGAACAUUGAGCCUUGAUGUGUAGGAUAGGUGGGAGGCUUUGAAGCGUGGACGCCAGUCUGCGUGGAGCCAACCUUGAAAUACCACCCUUUAAUGUUUGAUGUUCUAACGUUGGCCCCUGACCGGGGUUGCGGACAGUGUCUGGUGGGUAGUUUGACUGGGGCGGUCUCCUCCCAAAGCGUAACGGAGGAGCACGAAGGUUAGCUAAUCCUGGUCGGACAUCAGGAGGUUAGUGCAAUGGCAUAAGCUAGCUUGACUGCGAGCGUGACGGCGCGAGCAGGUGCGAAAGCAGGUCAUAGUGAUCCGGUGGUUCUGAAUGGAAGGGCCAUCGCUCAACGGAUAAAAGGUACUCCGGGGAUAACAGGCUGAUACCGCCCAAGAGUUCAUAUCGACGGCGGUGUUUGGCACCUCGAUGUCGGCUCAUCACAUCCUGGGGCUGAAGUAGGUCCCAAGGGUAUGGCUGUUCGCCAUUUAAAGUGGUACGCGAGCUGGGUUUAGAACGUCGUGAGACAGUUCGGUCCCUAUCUGCCGUGGGCGCUGGAGAAUUGAGGGGGGCUGCUCCUAGUACGAGAGGACCGGAGUGGACGCAUCACUGGUGUUCGGGUUGUCAUGCCAAUGGCACUGCCCGGUAGCUAAAUGCGGAAGAGAUAAGUGCUGAAAGCAUCUAAGCACGAAACUUGCCCCGAGAUGAGUUCUCCCUGAGACUUUAAGUCUCCUGAAGGAACGUUAAAGACGAUGACGUUGAUAGGCCGGGUGUGUAAGCGCAGCGAUGCGUUGAGCUAACCGGUACUAAUGAACCGUGAGGCUUCACCUUACAACG
rnacentral:rRNA from 1 species